CCCACCAAUCUCGUUUGGCUCCGCUCCCGCCCUUCGCCCUACCCUUCCCACCUUCUCCUCCUCCUCUUUCUCCGCUCUGUUUCACUGCCGAAGACGCGAUGCUCGGAUUGGCUCGAGGGCAGGCGGCAGUGAUGGUGGUGGUGAUGCGGAUGCAAGCGCAGAUUUGAUGUUGCUGCAGGCUUCGAGAUGGCUUCAGAGAAUCAUGAGGGCGGAGUUGCCAUCGAGUUCGGUGUCUUGUCGCGUGAUAUGACACUUCGGCCCAACCCGUCGUCAGUCAUCAUCUCCCAUCUAUCGACGGCUGCGAUAUCGGGACCCGAUGAACGAAGGGUCGAGAUGUGAUCUAAUCCAGCAGCGCCGAAGACUAGACCGCCAGGAAACGCAACAGGUCACGAGGUAAACGAUACUAUGGGUCGUUACUUCUGCCGUCAUUCAUGCGUUUGCGAAUGCCUGUGGCCAUGUGAGACCUUUCUUCUCCCCCCGGCAAUUUUCCUCUCCACCCACACGGUGUUAUAUUUUGGGCUGAUGCCAUGCAUCUCCCGCUCACCUCAACGCGUCUCAUUCCAACCUUUCUAUUUAUA